UACGUAGGGGGCAAGCGUUGUCCGGAUUUAUUGGGCGUAAAGAGCGUGUAGGCGGCCAGGUAGGUCAGCUGUGAAAACUCGAGGCUCAACCUCGAGACGCCGGUUGAAACCAUCUGGCUAGAGUCCGGAAGAGGAGAGUGGAAUUCCUGGUGUAGCGGUGAAAUGCGCAGAUAUCAGGAAGAACACCCGUGGCUAAGGCGGUUCUCUAGUACGGUACUGACGCUGAGACGCGAAAGCGUGGGGAGCGAACAGG
rnacentral:rRNA from 1 species